AUUAAGGCAUUAGUUUCUCUGAGAAGACAGAUCUGAAGAAAAUUCAAGAAAAUGAGAAAAUAGAUAUAAAUAAGAUGGAGCUUGGGAGGCAAGGGAGGAAGGCUGCUCUUUCCGAAUAUUCGUGCAUCGACCUUUUCGGCUGCAAGCCCCAGGUGGAGUUGAAUACAAUGCCCACAUUUGUGGUUAGCUACAAGCAAUAUGUUAUGAAGAUGGUGGUAUUCAGACACGUACCCAACCAAUUUAAUUCAGAUAAAUUGGAUACAAGGCUUUGACCAGCAUGAGAAGAGCAGGACGUUGCUUAGCUGUGACCAGGUCUUCCCCGCUCAGCUGUGGGCUGCGUGUUGUGAUGAAAAGCACCCGUCAUCGGAAGGGAAACCUGCCCUCUGCUAUUCACAGGCAGCAUCACAGGCUGCUGGAGGAGCUCAGCAGGAGAAGAGCCAGCACUGCACCAACAAUGUGGUUUGAGCAGAGGUUGGUGGUGGUCCAGCUCAUUGGAACUUUUGUGCUCGAACCAGGGGGAUGCUAUAGAUGGAGCUAAUCUGGUUCUUCAAUCCCACCGAAGAGCACAGAGCUGAUCUCUAAGUCUGCUAUCUGCUCCUGCUAUGUCCUGAUGAAUGUUUGGUCCAGUACCAGACAGGAUGCAAAGCUGAACACCCAUAGCCAUCACUCUCCUGCUCUUCACAGUAGAUGUUGCUACCCUACAAUUAUCAAGAUUAAUAUGGUGUUGGAGAAUAUGACUGGAUUCUGCCCACACCACCAUGGCAUGCUGAUAAAGCAAUGAUAGCCUACAAAAGGAAAUAAUUCUCCACCUUUUUUUUUUUUGAUCAAGUGCCAUGGGAAUAGGACCUACCCAGUGGAGAUUUCAGUGUGGCAGAAGGAUGGGAAGCAUGGAGAUUUCUGAGAUGGUUUGGAUGCUGCUUCUACCAAGUAGAAGUGAUGUUAAACUGAAAUUGUUCAUCAAACUGUCACCUCAUACGGAUUAUUCUAUUGGAAAGUCAAGAAAACCACCACUGAUUUUAUUUUUUUUCCCCAAAAAUAUAAAACAGAUAUCUUGUGUAAGAGGAGACAAUGUUCAAACACCCAAGCUCAAGAAGGGGCUAAAAGGAAAAGCCUGAGGUUAGAGCAGAGAGAAACUGUCAAAAGUUUUAAAAGAAAUUUUAUGAAGCCAUAUUUGUAUGCAAAAUCUAUGAUCACUUUGAAAUCAAAAAAGCUACUGUUAGGUUAUUUGCACAAAGUAGCUUUAUAGUCAGAAAACCCCUCAUCACUUCUAUCCCACUUUAAAAAAUACAUUCUAUACCAUUCUGAAAUCCCAAAAGACAAUAAAAAUCACUUGGAUUUAUGAUGCUUGGGUGUAAAGGAAUUAGAUGCAAGUAGCUGGGUUUUCACAGAAAUAUUAUUCUGGAACAUUUGAAUAACACAACUUUUGGACCAGGUGCUUGGGUUGUGUGUGUGAUGUGAGCACGUGAGCACUAUGAGGUGGACUUGUGAUGUCACUGCAUUUCCUGUUCAUCACUUAGCACAGCUGAACAUCAUGGCCCCUGUAAAGCCAAACAAGAGGUUGUCAGUGACUUCAGUGGAGCCAGAAUUUCAUCCCAGGCCAGGAGCUACUGAUGGAGAGUUCCACCGGCUGGUGACUUGGAGCAACUUCAAGUCAGUGAAGCUGAAGGGAAAAAAUUCCUUGUCACAUAACUGAUCUCUUUGGCAACCCAGGGUACCCAAAUUUCACUGGAUUUUCUACCAAGUUUCCAUUCAUGUUGCAACUAUGUAGAUAAUAUGUUAAGGCAUCAUUCUUAAAAAAGUAAGGAAUUAAUUUCUCUAAGAGAUGGGUGAUUUGUAGAAGACAUUUGUGUAUUUUUGCAUGCUAAAUGUGCUUUAUAUUUACAAAUAAAUUUGCAUAAAAUCUCCA
rnacentral:lncRNA from 1 species